GAUGAACGCUGGCGGCGUGCCUAAUACAUGCAAGUCGAGCGAACAGAUGAGGAGCUUGCUCCUCUGACGUUAGCGGCGGACGGGUGAGUAACACGUGGAUAACCUACCUAUAAGACUGGGAUAACUUCGGGAAACCGGAGCUAAUACCGGAUAAUAUAUUGAACCGCAUGGUUCAAUAGUGAAAGACGGUUUUGCUGUAACUUAUAGAUGGAUCCGCGCCGCAUUAGCUAGUUGGUAAGGUAACGGCUUACCAAGGCAACGAUGCGUAGCCGACCUGAUAGGGUGAUCGGCCACACUGGAACUGAACCACGGUCCAGACUCCUGCGGGAGGCAGCAGUAGGGAAUCUUCCGCAAUGGGCGAAAGCCUUACGGAGCAACGCCGCGUGAGUGAUGAAGGUCUUCGGAUCGUAAAACUCUGUUAUUAGGGAAGAACAAAUGUGUAAGUAACUAUGCACGUCUUGACGGUACCUAAUCAGAAAGCCACGGCUAACUACGUG
rnacentral:rRNA from 1 species